UGAACGCUGGCGGCGUGCCUAAUACAUGCAAGUCGAGCGACCAGAUGAGGAGCUUGCUCCUCUGACGUUAGCGGCGGACGGGUGAGUAACACGUGGAUAACCUACCUAUAAGACUGGGAUAACUUCGGGAAACCGGAGCUAAUACCGGAUAAUAUAUUGAACCGCAUGGUUCAAUAGUGAAAGACGGUUUUGCUGUCACUUAUAGAUGGAUCCGCGCCGCAUUAGCUAGUUGGUAAGGUAACGGCUUACCAAGGCAACGAUGCGUAGCCGACCUGAGAGGGUGAUCGGCCACACUGGAACUGAGACACGGUCCAGACUCCUACGGGAGGCAGCAGUAGGGAAUCUUCCGCAAUGGGCGAAAGCCUGACGGAGCAACGCCGCGUGAGUGAUGAAGGUCUUCGGAUCGUAAAACUCUGUUAUUAGGGAAGAACAAAUGUGUAAGUAACUAUGCACGUCUUGACGGUACCUAAUCAGAAAGCCACGGCUAACUACGUG
rnacentral:rRNA from 1 species